rnacentral:miRNA from 1 species
CUGUCCUAUUUCUUCCUGGUGC